rnacentral:rRNA from 1 species
AUUGAACGCUGGCGGCAGGCCUAACACAUGCAAGUCGAACGAGUGGCGGACGGGUGAGUAAUGUCGGGGACCCUGCUUGAUGGAGGGGGAUAACUACGGGAAACGGUAGCUAAUACCGCAUACCAUCGGAUGUGCCCAGAUGGCAUUAGCUAGUAGGUGGGGUAAAGGCUGACCUAGGAGACGAUCCCUAGCUGGUCUGAGAGGAUGACCAGCCACACUGGAACUGAGACACGGUCCAGACUCCUACGGGAGGCAGCAGUGGGGAAUAUUGCACAAUGGGCGCAAGCCUGAUGCAGCAAUGCCGCGUGAGUGAAGAAGGCCUUCGGGUUGUAAAGUACUUUCAGCGGGGAAGCGGUACCCGCAGAGAAAGCACCGGCUAACUACGUGCCAGCAGCCGCGGUAAUAC